ACCGACUACGAACAAACCAUGUUUAGCCCAGAAUAACCUUGAAUUUAAUAAAAUGUUGUUUUGCCAAAAUAACUUGCAAGAUGUAUGAUAUUUCAUCAGGCAUGCAAAGACACCAGUGAAUUCAAGAUGUUUGGUUUUAUUUAUCUUAUCUGAAUAUCUGCUGUCACGCAUAACAUUCAUUAUUGAUAUACAAAAUCCAGUUACAACUCCGAACCGCUAGAUGGCAGCUGCAGUACACAAACACGAGGCCAAAUCUCGCGAGAAAGAUUUCCGCUGUUUGAAAAUCAACAACACCAACCAGCGAGCAGCCAAGGCCAGGGGAAAGCAAUCUUCCACACUCGUUUGGUCUUGUGUCAAAGCUGUGCGAAACUGGAGGGAGAAACUUGAGAGACCGUGCCGGAAGAAUGCUGGACAGAGUUCCAUAAAAUUCAUUAAUUUCAAAGUUCAACAUGAAUGGUGGUGGUCCACUGCAGAAGCAAGCAUUUGAAAAAACAUCAGUUCUCAGUUAUUAAAGAUGCUGUGUUGAACAACUUCCCAGCAGCAACAGAACUGGAAGGGAAGGAUGCAAUGGGGGCAUUUCAAACAGGCACCAGGGAGGAUGG